UACGUAGGGACCAAGCGUUGUUCGGAUUUACUGGGCGUAAAGGGCGCGUAGGCGGCGCGGUAAGUCACUUGUGAAAUCUCUGAGCUUAACUCAGAACGGCCAAGUGAUACUGCAGUGCUAGAGUGUGGAAGGGGCAAUCGGAAUUCUUGGUGUAGCGGUGAAAUGCGUAGAUAUCAAGAGGAACACCUGAGGUGAAGACGGGUUGCUGGGCCAACACUGACGUGAUGCGCGAAAGCCAGGGGAGCAAACGGGG
rnacentral:rRNA from 1 species